rnacentral:rRNA from 1 species
UACGGAGGGUGCAAGCAUUAAUCGGAUUUAUUGGGCGUAAAGGGCGCGUAGGCGGAAAGAUAAGUCAGAUGUGAAAUCCCGGGGCUCAACCUCGGAACAGCAUUUGAAACUAUCAUUCUAGAGGAUAGAUGGAGAAAACGGAAUUCCACAAGUAGCGGUGAAAUGCGUAGAUAUGUGGAAGAACACCGGUGGCGAAGGCGGUUUUCUAAUUUAGACCUGACGCUGAGGCGCGAAAGCAAGGGGAUCAAACAGG